rnacentral:rRNA from 1 species
UACGGGGGGGGCAAGCGUUGUUCGGAAUUACUGGGCGUAAAGGGCUCGUAGGUGGCCAACUAAGUCAGACGUGAAAUCCCUCGGCUUAACCGGGGAACUGCGUCUGAUACUGGAUGGCUUGAGUUCGGGAGAGGGAUGCGGAAUUCCAGGUGUAGCGGUGAAAUGCGUAGAUAUUACAAGGAACACCAAUGGCGAAGGCAGCUUGCUGGGCUACUCCUGACACUGAGGUACGAAAGCGUGGGGAGCGAACAGG